rnacentral:rRNA from 1 species
CAGCACCUCAAGUGGUCAGGAUGAUUAUUGGGCCUAAAGCAUCCGUAGCCGGCGCUGUAAGUUUUCGGUUAAAUCUGUACGCUCAACGUACAGGCUGCCGGGAAUACUGCAGCGCUAGGGAGUGGGAGAGGUAGACGGUACUCGGUAGGAAGGGGUAAAAUCCUAUGAUCUAUUGAUGACCACCUGUGGCGAAGGCGGUAUACCAGAACACGUCCGACGGUGAGGGAUGAAAGCUGGGGGAGCAAACCGGAUUAGAGACCCGAGUAGUCC